GAUGAACGCUGGCGGCGUGCCUAAUACAUGCAAGUCGAGCGAACGGACGAGAAGCUUGCUUCUCUGAUGUUAGCGGCGGACGGGUGAGUAACACGUGGAUAACCUACCUAUAAGACUGGGAUAACUUCGGGAAACCGGAGCUAAUACCGGAUGAUAUCUUGAACCGCAUGGUUCAAAAGUGAAAGACGGUCUUGCUGUCACUUAUAGAUGGAUCCGCGCUGCAUUAGCUAGUUGGUAAGGUAACGGCUUACCAAGGCAACGAUGCAUAGCCGACCUGAGAGGGUGAUCGGCCACCCUGGAACUGGGACACGGUCCAGACUCCUACGGGAGGCAGCAGUAGGGAAUCUGCCGCAGUGGGCGAAAGCCUGACGGAGCAACGCCGCGUGAGUGAUGAAAGUCUUCGGAUCGUAAAACUCUGUUAUUAGGGGAGAACAUAUGUGUAAGUAACUGUGCACAUCUUGACGGUACCUAAUCAGAAAGCCACGGCUAACUAUGUG
rnacentral:rRNA from 1 species